AUAAUGGGUCAGCGACUUAUAUUCUGUAGCAAGGUUAACCGAAUAGGGGAGCCGAAGGGAAACCGAGUCUUAACUGGGCGUUAAGUUGCAGGGUAUAGACCCGAAACCCGGUGAUCUAGCCAUGGGCAGGUUGAAGGUUGGGUAACACUAACUGGAGGACCGAACCGACUAAUGUUGAAAAAUUAGCGGAUGACUUGUGGCUGGGGGUGAAAGGCCAAUCAAACCGGGAGAUAGCUGGUUCUCCCCGAAAGCUAUUUAGGUAGCGCCUCGUGAAUUCAUCUCCGGGGGUAGAGCACUGUUUCGGCAAGGGGGUCAUCCCGACUUACCAACCCGAUGCAAACUGCGAAUACCGGAGAAUGUUAUCACGGGAGACACACGGCGGGUGCUAACGUCCGUCGUGAAGAGGGAAACAACCCAGACCGCCAGCUAAGGUCCCAAAGUCAUGGUUAAGUGGGAAACGAUGUGGGAAGGCCCAGACAGCCAGGAUGUUGGCUUAGAAGCAGCCAUCAUUUAAAGAAAGCGUAAUAGCUCACUGGUCGAGUCGGCCUGCGCGGAAGAUGUAACGGGGCUAAACCAUGCACCGAAGCUGCGGCAGCGACGCUGAUGCGUUGUUGGGUAGGGGAGCGU
rnacentral:rRNA from 1 species